UCUUCCUUACUCGCAGAGCAGCUGCAGCCUAAACCCUCUCUUGCCCAACUCUAUUUUCUCUUUAUUCCUCUAUUUGCAGUUUCUCAAUCUCCGAUCUCCUGUUUCUUCUCAGGCCUGAUCUAUAUAUCUCGAUUUAUUCUUUUAUUUUUCAUUUAGAUUUAGAUUUUGAUUCGUGUUAUUUAUUGGAAGCGAUGAAGAACACCUAAAACAUAUAACACUCACUCUUCUCCAAACAUCAUCGUUGGUUUAAGAUCAUCAAGAUCUGGGUGAUAUGGGCCUUGAAGCAGACAAAUAUGGUGUAUCUGGGAAAAAGAAUGUGUUGGCUUCUUUGCCACAAGAAACGCAAAGCUUCCGGACACCUCGUUGUCCGGCCUGGGUUCGAUCUUAUGGCACAGGAAGAUCAGCUUAUACUCAUGAAUUAUUCCUCGACGAUGGGAUAGAUCUAGAUACUUGUCUAAGAUCGCUAGCUCUCUUGCACGUCGCACGCUCGAUCACCACUAAUUGCUAAAGGUCGCGCGACUUAUUAAUGAAACCCAACUCUUUACCUUUAGCCAAAUAAAUGAAGCUUUCAUCUGCAUACGCAAAGCACAGGGCAUGCGUCUUUCAUUCUUCAAUUCCAUGAGCACGAGUACUAAGGGUCCUUGGGAUGGAAGAACUUAAAGUUAACUGGAGCAGAGGUAUUCAUACUUGCCCUCUUCUGUGCAAUGAAAGAGUUCAUAUAUUUAAGCUUAAGUAAACAGUAUGGGCAGGUACUUCAUGUAUUUGUAUUUCAGUUUUUUUUCCCCUUAGAGAAUCCAACAAUGAAGAGUUCAUUUUCCGUUUAAAACAUUUUGUAAGAUUCCUUGAUGUAAUAUUAAGUUAAUAGAUAUAUCCAAAUGACAGUUUUUGUUGCGUCAUGGCUGUUGUAUUGUGUUUCAUAGUUCAAUUAUAAUUUUAUGUUGAAUGUGAGGGUUCGUUGAUUGAAUUAUCAGAACAGGAAGAGU